rnacentral:tRNA from 1 species
GGGUGGUUAGCUCAGCGGUAAAGCACUGCCUUCACACGGCAGGGGUCACUGGUUCGAUCCCAGUACUGCCCACCA